UUUAUCUGCUUGUCUUAAAAAUCAACUGGCUUUUGCAUGUACAGCCCAAACCCUCUACAAGGCCAAUUUUACUUUUUUUCUCAGCCAUAAGCUUUGAUAUAUUUAAAAAAAAGGCAUAUCUCACAUUCCUGUUAUAGCUUGCGCUAGUCUCAAAUAUUCAGACAACCCCUGGAAUAAUAUUCCUUGGACAACCUGUUAUGGAGAGACUGAGCAUAACCUUCACUGGGGUAAUUGGACUAUUAUUGACAGGGGUCCUAGAGGACAUCUUGAAACAAAAUAUUCAAAAAAGACCAUAUCCUUUGACCAGGUUAGUAGGGAGAGUAUUUUUUGGAAAGAUGGAGGUUUGUCUGGACCUACAAUUUCUGCACAUAAAGGGAAAUUAAAAGGACGUUGGCUUGUUAACCUUUGGAAGCUAGGUCUUCCCUUCUUCAUUUGUACGAUUAGCCACGGUGAAAUUUAUGUAAAUCAGCAUACUAACCUAACUUGGGCCUCCCUGCACAACAAUCAAUUAGCAUGGACCACUAGUUGUGUCCCUUCUCCCUAUGUUUUCUUUGCUACCUCCACUUUACAGAUCCAACAACUAUCAUAGCUCUACCUCCCAGAGUUGGUUUAUAUCCUGCAAUCACCCUCCAAGCCAUCCAAAAGCAAAAGAAGGACCAGGAGCUUGUCAUGAUGGUCCUCAAACACAAAACUAAAAGAACCAAGAAAAACAAAAAGGGGGCACUGUGGAGAAUAAGCUUAGGAAUUCCCUGAGUCUGCACUGAUGGGUUAACAAGGCAUAAAGAAUUACAAAGCCAUAGGAUGCUCACAUCCACGCUUGGGAAACAGGAUUGCCCCCAGAAUAGAGGAGGGGGGGGCGCAAAGGCCCCCAAUACAAAGGCAUAUGAGGUAAGCAAGCUUAGGUAUUCAGGGCAAAAGUGCCCCCCAAUUUAGUACUAUAGCAGAAAGCUGCUUUCACAGGAAGGAAGGACCAAAUUAGGCAAACAGGUAAAUAGGGCUAUAGACCACUGCACUGUAGAUGAAACUGCAGAGCAGAGCUGAUUAGCAAAAGAAAAGGUGUGUUGUUAACCCUGAGGUUACUUGCUGUGUCUUAUCCCCUAGGCUGGCUAAGAUAAACAGGGCACCUCCUGUCUGCUGUUAACAACCAUCUGCCUGGUGCCAGGAUUGUUUUAUAUUGACCCAAACCCCAACCGUAUAUCCUCAAAACCCCCUUUCCCUCAUGCCCAUGAGUUCAUGUUUACCAAUUUAUUGUCUCUUUGUGCACUCCCCAUCACGUUUGUAAGCCUUCUGAUUUUAAUAAAUAUGGGGUAAGUACCCUUACUUGGGGGUCUUGUCUUUUCCCGGA